CUGGCGGCAGGAGAUGCAGGCAUCCCCGGGUCACGCGCUCCCACCAGGUGCUUGACGGAUUGCGAGGGCACAGGAAGACGCACAGCGCAGCUGAGUUAAUGUUCGAAGCAACUGAUAUUCAAAUUAAGCGGUUGGAGAACUAAAGGGCAAAGUAAAUGAAUGCUUCACAAAAGAAUCCUCCAUAAAAGGUGUCACAGCCAGAUUAGGGGGGCAUUCUAUUUGCUGUAUUUAUGGUUCACAGUGGCAGCAUGGGCCAAUGCUAAUGAAUGAAACUGAAAUCCUCGGUGCCCCCAUUUAUUUUGAUGUUGGCUUGAUGUUCAUGGUCUUGAAGUUUGAUACAUUAGGUAGAAGUAAUGCACUCUAAAUCAUCAGAAUUUUAUUACCUUGAGACAUUAUUGAACCAAAAUCUAUAGUUUCGGGGCCGAUCCUCCUCUUUGUUGGCCCUACGCUUAAGUUCUGGCUUUCUGGUUCUUUGCUUUAAUUUGCUAGUUCCAACAAGAGACUACAUUUCGUUCUGAAGGAGGCUUUGGACCCGAAGUGUCCACGCACUCUGCAUAAUACAAAUAUAGACAGUGGGGGUCUAUACUCUAUAGUACUAAGGGUACGUUUGAUUCAGCUUUUUGAACCUGCGCUUCUGCUUCUGCUCUUCUCCUCACUAACCGCACUAGAGUAGAUCAGGUCUUAUUUUGGUUUGUGGGGGCAAGGAUGUAGCAGCGAAUGUUAUUUUACAUGCCGGCCUCAUCCUCUUUUAUUUACGCAGGGGGCCGAAACUAGUAAGUUAUUGCACUCGAUCAGGACGUGAGAGAUAGAGUCAGACUCGUUCCUCUAACAUUUUUUCCCCUCAUAUUUCCAAGAGAAAUAGAGGUUCUUAUUGCUAGCUGGAGGAGUCAUUAUGCUAUACUAUCUUAUCAUUUCCUGGCUGACUAAAUAGAACUGCAUAGUUGAUCUUUGCAUGCAUGUGAACUGUCUGAAUUCUUGUCACAGUGCAACAACCGGCGUUCUGUAUUCAUAUAUCACUGUGUAUGUUAAUCAUUGCUCUGGUUGCUGGAUAAGUUAAGUUUUGUCAUAAACCACCCGUCUCAGUCUUCCAUUUAUAAAUCAUUUGUAUGCACAUGGCGCUUCUUCCCCCCCCCCCUUUUUUUUUGCAAUUUGAUUGAGCAAGCACUAGUCGAAGGCUGGAUUUCAGGUUGGCCACAGGAAAUCUCAUCCUCUCCCAUGUAAUGAUGUCGUGCCGGCCGGAGAUGACGCUCGUCCACAUUGGCACAUCGUGCUGUAUACGGUUCUCAAUCAAUUUUCAGUGCGGUGUCAUGAGCUUUGUAUUCCCUGUCAUGCCAUAUGACAUUCAUUCCCCUGCACAUGAUGCUACUCAUCUUCUUUGACGUAAUAGUGUUUUUUUUAAUUGGAUGACUGUGGAGAAUAUUAAAUAGGCCAUCAGUUGUUAAGAUUUCCUAUCGGUUUUCAGGUAGAUUACUCGAGUAGCGUGGUCUGUCCAUGUGUUACUCGGAUACUGCUGGUGGAUGAAUUUCCCCGUCAUCCAGUGCCACAUGGCUUGACCGCAGCCAACACCUCUAAACAUGUUAUCGGAUUUCUACGGCCAUUCAUUGCUGUUCGCCCUUGGACACAGGAGAAGAUGAAUGGUGGGCUGUGGGCACCGGUGAAUCAGCUUGAGGGACAAGAUCGGACACGCAGCCAUGGCAGAGAUUUGCUGUGCGAGUGUUGGAGCCUUCGAGGGGGCAUGUGAUGUGAGCGGACGCGGCAAGUUGCAACACGCAUCUGCGUGCGCCGACGCAUGUGGGGCUCAGUGUUUGUACGUGAGCCGUCUAAAGGAACAGGCAGGGGCAGAUGGCACUGUCCGUUUGCCAUGUGACCGGACUGUUGUCGGGCAAGCGGAGGACGGCUGCCCGCAGGACGCGACGGCGGUUUUCCGGCCAGUGAGAGGGCUGUGGACACAUGGGAGUUGCUAGCUACGGCCUACGGGUAAAGUCAGGUUAUCUUGUCGGCGUCACAAUGCCUUUCACGGUGGGCUAUUCUACAGAGGAAGGAGGUUCGACCUAUGGUUGUAACAGGAUCACGAACCUUGGUGAGGGUGGCCACGACGUUUUUCUCCCGGAGGCACGGGUGGCGAUCUAGGCUUCGGAUCGGUUAUCAUUAGAUCAAUGUCUUUUUUGGUUUUUUUUUAGUUGGCUAUGUGCAUUAGGCAGAGGUCGGAAGUUCUGUACCAAGGAUUUGUAUCCUCUUGAUGUAAUGACUUGGUAUUUUCAAUACAAGCUUCCUUUAUCU